rnacentral:snRNA from 1 species
GUCUCUUCGGGGAUAUUUGAUAAAAUUGGAACGAAACAGAGAAGAUUAGCAUGGGCCCUGCGCAAGAAUGAUACGCACAAAAAAAAAGUUAUUCAGUAAUCA